GACGAACGCUGGCGGCGUGCCUAAUACAUGCAAGUCGAGCGGAGCGGCGGACGGGGGAGUAAUGCCUAGGAAUCUGCCUGGGAGUGGGGGAUAACGUCCGGAAACGGGCGCUAAUACAGCAUACUAUCAGAUAAGCCUAGGUCGGAUUAGCUAGUUGGUGGGGGAAAUGCCUACCAAGGCGACGAUCCGUAACUGGCCUGAGAGGAUGAUCAGUCACACUGGAACUGAGACACGGUCCAGACUCCUACGGGAGGCAGCAGUGGGGAAUAUUGGACAAUGGGCGCAAGCCUGAUCCAGCCAUGCCGCGUGUGUGAAGAAGGUCUUCGGAUUGUAAAGCACUUUAAGUUGGGAGGCGUUACCAACAGAAUAAGCACCGGCUAACUUCGUGCCAGCCGCCGCGGUAAUUC
rnacentral:rRNA from 1 species